AUCUACAACUAAAAAUUAAAAUUAAAAAAUGAGGUUCUCCCUUCCAUCUUUCCUUCCCUCCUCCCUCCCUUCUUUUCUCUCCUCUCUCCUUCCCCCAUCCUUCUUUCUUUUCUCUUCCUUUUCCCCUUCCCCCACCUCUGAGCCAGCUGCCAGCUCUACUGUGCCCAGGUGUUCGAAACCUCGAAACCUCUGUGGGUAUCCACAGAACUGGGUAGUUGCCCAAGGCCAGGAGGUUCCCUAGAAAGGCCCCAGCCUCUCUUUCUUGCCCAGAAUAAGCAGGUGCUGGGAGGGUGGUGUUGGGGGGGCUGUUUAAUUACCCACUGCUUCCCGUCCCCCUCCAGGUUUGCUCACCCACUGAGGUCACGACUCAGCCCUGUCCCUGGCACUCACUGCUUUGGGUUGUUUUAUUAUUUGUUUAUUUAUUUUGGUAUUGGGGAUUGAACCCAGGGGCACUUAACCACUGAGACACAUCUCCAGCCCCUUUUAAAGAAAAUGAUUUUUUUAGUUGUAGAUGGACAGAAUAUCUUCAUUUAUUUAUUUUUAUAUGAUGCUGAGGAUUGAACCCAGGGCCUCAUGUGUUGGAGGCAAGCGCUCUACCACUGAGCCACAACCCCAGCUGCCAGCCCUUUUUUAUAGUUUAUUUAGAGACAGGUCUCACUGAGUUUCUUAGGACCUCCCUAAAUUGCUGAGGCUGACCUUGAACUCAGGAUCUUCUUGCCUCAAUUUCCCAAGCUGUUGGGAUUACAGGUACAUCCAGCUGGGGUUUAUAUUUAUACCCAGCUCCUCUAGUUUGCAUGCCACCUGCACCCCAGCUUAACUAUGUGACCUCAGACAAGUCACUGGACAUGGCCGUUCAGUUUCCUCACCUCUAAAAUGUGGCUCUUAGGCUUCUUUUUUUUAGUUGUAGUUGGAAAUGACACAUUUAUUUUGUUUACUUAUUUUCAUAUGGUGCUGAGGAUUGAACCCAGGACCUCACAUGUUCUAGGCAGGCGCUCUACUGCUGAGCCACAAC
rnacentral:lncRNA from 1 species